UGCUUAACACAUGCAAGUCGAACGGAAAGGCCCUGCUUUUGUGGGGUGCUCGAGUGGCGAACGGGUGAGUAACACGUGAGUAACCUGCCCUUGACUUUGGGAUAACUUCAGGAAACUGGGGCUAAUACCGGAUAGGAGCUCCUGCUGCAUGGUGGGGGUUGGAAAGUUUCGGCGGUUGGGGAUGGACUCGCGGCUUAUCAGCUUGUUGGUGGGGUAGUGGCUUACCAAGGCUUUGACGGGUAGCCGGCCUGAGAGGGUGACCGGCCACAUUGGGACUGAGAUACGGCCCAGACUCCUACGGGAGGCAGCAGUGGGGAAUAUUGCACAAUGGGCGGAAGCCUGAUGCAGCAACGCCGCGUGCGGGAUGACGGCCUUCGGGUUGUAAACCGCUUUCGCCUGUGACGAAGCGUGAGUGACGGUAAUGGGUAAAGAAGCACCGGCUAACUACGUGCCAGCAGCCGCGGUGAUACGUAGGGUGCGAGCGUUGUCCGGAUUUAUUGGGCGUAAAGGGCUCGUAGGUGGUUGAUCGCGUCGGAAGUGUAAUCUUGGGGCUUAACCCUGAGCGUGCUUUCGAUACGGGUUGACUUGAGGAAGGUAGGGGAGAAUGGAAUUCCUGGUGGAGCGGUGGAAUGCGCAGAUAUCAGGAGGAACACCAGUGGCGAAGGCGGUUCUCUGGGCCUUUCCGGGCGCUAACGAGCGUAAGCGUGGGAGCGAGCGGAUCAGCAUGCCCUGGUAGCCCAGCUGUAACCGCCGGCUACUAGCUGCAGGGUCCAUUCCGCAGGUUCAGUGCCGCAGCUCCGGCUUUAACUACCCAACCUCGGGAGUACGGCCGCACGGCUAAACUCUAAAGGAAUUGACAGGGCCCGGCACAAGCCGCGGAGCACGGGGAUUAAUUCAGAUGCAACGCGUAGAACCUUACCUGGGUUCUGACAUGGAUCGGGAGUGCUCAGAGACGGGUGUGCCUCUUUUGGGGUCGGUUCACAGGUGGUGCAUGGCAGUGGUCAGCUCCGGUCGUGACGAUGUUGGGUUAAGUCCGGCAAAGAGCGCAACCAGCGUUCACUGUUGCCAGCACGUUAUGGUGGGGAGUCAGUGGAGACCGCCGGGGUCACCUCGGAGGAAGGUGGGGAGGACGUCAAGUCAUCAUGCCCCCUAUGUCCAGGGCUUCACGCAUGCUACAAUGGCUGGUACAGAGAGUGGCGAGCCUGUGAGGGUGAGCGAAUCUCGGAAAGCCGGUCUCAGUUCGGAUUGGGGUCUGCAACUCGACCUCAUGAAGUCGGAGUCGCUAGUAAUCGCAGAUCAGCAACGCUGCGGUGAAUAAGUUCCCGGCCCU
rnacentral:rRNA from 1 species